CGGUUCAUAAUGGAACACUUGAAUGGCAUUCAAGAGGUCGACGGUUCGAUCCCGUUUGGCUCCACCA
rnacentral:tRNA from 1 species